rnacentral:rRNA from 1 species
AUACGGAGGGUGCAAGCGUUGUCCGGAUUUAUUGGGUUUAAAGGGUACGUAGGUGGAUUCUUAAGUCCGUGGUGAAAGCCCGCAGCUCAACUGCGGAACUGCCAUGGAUACUGGGAAUCUUGAAUUCAGUUGAGGUUGGCGGAAUUUAUGGUGUAGCGGUGAAAUGCAUAGAUACCAUAAAGAACACCUAUUGCGAAGGCAGCUAACUGGACUUGAAUUGACACUGAGGUACGAAAGCGUGGGGAGCGGACAGGAUUAGAAACCCCAGUAGUCC